rnacentral:rRNA from 1 species
CCUACGGGAGGCUGCAGUGAGGAAUAUUGGUCAAUGGGCGGGAGCCUGAACCAGCCAAGCCGCGUGAGGGAAGAAGGUACAGCGUAUCGUAAACCUCUUUUGUCAGGGAACAAAGGCGGGGACUCGUCCCCGGAUGCGGGUACCUGAAGAAAAAGCAUCGGCUAACUCCGUGCCAGCAGCCGCGGUAAUACGGAGGAUGCGAGCGUUAUCCGGAUUUAUUGGGUUUAAAGGGUGCGCAGGCGGCCUGUUAAGUCAGCGGUAAAAGCCCGGGGCUCAACCCCGGCGAGCCGUUGAAACUGGCGGGCUGGAGUUGGAGAGAAGUACGCGGAAUGCGCGGUGUAGCGGUGAAAUGCUUAGAUAUCGCGCAGAACCCCGAUUGCGAAGGCAGCGCACCGGAUCCACACUGACGCUGAGGCACGAAAGCGUGGGUAUCGAACAGGAUUAGAUACCCUAGUAGUC